AACGAACGCUGGCGGCAUGCCUAACACAUGCAAGUCGAACGAAGCCUUUGGGCUUAGUGGCGCACGGGUGCGUAACGCGUGGGAAUCUGCCCUUUGGUUCGGAAUAACAGUUGGAAACGACUGCUAAUACCGGAUGAUGACGAAAGUCCAAAGAUUUAUCGCCAGAGGAUGAGCCCGCGUAGGAUUAGCUAGUUGGUGUGGUAAAGGCGCACCAAGGCGACGAUCCUUAGCUGGUCUGAGAGGAUGAUCAGCCACACUGGGACUGAGACACGGCCCAGACUCCUACGGGAGGCAACAGGAGGGAAUAUUGGACAAUGGGCGAAAGCCUGAUCCAGCAAUGCCGCGUGAGUGAUGAAGGCCCUAGGGUUGUAAAGCUCUUUUACCCGGGGUGAUAAUGACAGUACCGGGAGAAUAAGCCCCGGCUAACUCCGUGCCAGCAGCCGCGGUAA
rnacentral:rRNA from 1 species